rnacentral:rRNA from 1 species
UGGGGAAUAUUGCGCAAUGGGCGAAAGCCUGACGCAGCGACGCCGCGUGAGCGAUGAAGGCCUUCGGGUUGUAAAGCUCUGUCAGAGGGGACGAAACAAUAGUGGGAAUAAUACCCCGCUAUCUUGACGGUACCCUCAAAGGAAGCACCGGCUAACUCCGUGCCAGCAGCCGCGGUAAUACGGAGGGUGCUAGCGUUGUUCGGAAUUACUGGGCGUAAAGCGCGCGUAGGUGGCUUGUGAAGUCUGGUGUGAAAGCCCCCGGCUUAACCGGGGAAGUGCACUGGAAACCAGCAAGCUUGAGGAUAGAGGGGGAUCGUGGAAUUCCUGGUGUAGCAGUGAAAUGCGUAGAUAUCAGGAAGAACACCGGUGGCGAAGGCGACGAUCUAAGCUAUCUCUGACACUAAAGUGCGAAAGCGUGGGGAGCAAACAGG